AUGUCCAACUCGCGCGCGUCCUCCCACGGUGCCAGCGGCGGCGUGGCGGUAACGCCGUCGAUGUCCGCGUCGGCCAUCGUCGCCAAGGGGGCGACCGGGUCGCACGUCCUCAAGAUCGACGGCUACUCCCGCAUGAAGGGACUCUACAUUGGCAAAUUCAUUACGUCGAGGUCGUUCCAAGUCGGAGGCCAUCGCUGGUGCCUGCGAUACUACCCCAACAGUCGAGACUUCGUACGAUACGCCGGCUGGAUAUCGAUCGUACUCUGUCUUGAUCCCAGCGAGGUCGGUGAAGUCACGGCAGAGUACAAGAUCAGCUUGCUCGACAAAAAAGGCCGCCCAGUGCCACGCUUCGUCCGGGAAAGCAAAACCUUGACAUUCUCCGGGAAGCAAGAGCCACAUAUCACCGAUUCCUACCACCUCAUCACUAAGGCAGAACUGGGGAGUCUACCUUACCUGAAGGAUGAUGCUUUCAGCGUGAGGUGCGAUAUCACCGUGGUGAUGGGGAUCGUCACGGAGGACCUUGUGGUUCCCGCCGUCGAGCGUGGUAUCAAGAAAAAGACCUUCUAA
rnacentral:rRNA from 1 species